UUUUGGGAUAAAGGUUUAGUUGAGCUGAGUAUUAUGGUUACACAAAACAAUCAUAGAUCCCAGCUCAAUGUGAAAAAUGUCAAUUUCAAUGUUGGUAAUGCCACACAAAAAUACCCAAUCAAUGGAUGUUAAAGAUAAAAAAAGUAUAACAAGAGAUCAGCUUUUAUAAGAUUAGCAGGCACUUGUUGACAGAUCCUUCAAGCACAAUAAGCAUGUAUCUAUAUAAAUCAAACAGGCCAUUUUCUGGAUUUCAUUCUUAUGCUUCACACAUCACUAGAGAAGUUACCGACUCACAUUCUAAUAGUCCAAGGCAUACGGAAUUUUAGAGUUAAAAUGAAUAAAAAUAGCUUUUUUUCACCUGAAACCCCUACUGUGAAAAUAAAUGACAGAUCAGAAAUUCACCUGGAGGGAGACGCAUGAAGAAAGUUCAACUGGCAG
rnacentral:misc_RNA from 1 species